GACGAACGCUGGCGGCGUGCUUAACACAUGCAAGUCGAACGGAAAGGCCUUUUCGGAGGUACUCGAGUGGCGAACGGGUGAGUAACACGUGGGUGAUCUGCCCUGCACUCUGGGAUAAGCCUGGGAAACUGGGUCUAAUGCCGGAUAGGACCGCACUUUAGUGUGUGUGGUGGAAAGUUUUUUCGGUGUAGGAUGAGCCCGCGGCCUAUCAGCUUGUUGGUGGGGUAAUGGCCUACCAAGGCGGCGACGGGUAGCCGGACUGAGAGGUUGGUCGGCCACAUUGGGACUGAGAUACGGCCCAGACUCCUACGGGAGGCAGCAGUGGGGAAUAUUGCACAAUGGGCGCAAGCCUGAUGCAGCGACGCCGCGUGGGGGAUGACGGCCUUCGGGUUGUAAACUCCUUUCGCCAGGGACGAAGCGUUUUGUGACGGUACCUGGAGAAGAAGCACCGGCUAACUACGUGCCAGCAGCCGCGGUAAUACGUAGGGUGCAAGCGUUGUCCGGAAUUACUGGGCGUAAAGAGCUCGUAGGUGGUUUGUCACGUCGUCUGUGAAAUUCCACAGCUUAACUGUGGGCGUGCAGGCGAUACGGGCUGACUUGAGUACUGUAGGGGUAACUGGAAUUCCUGGUGUAGCGGUGAAAUGCGCAGAUAUCAGGAGGAACACCGAUGGCGAAGGCAGGUUACUGGGCAGUUACUGACGCUGAGGAGCGAAAGCAUGGGUAGCAAACAGG
rnacentral:rRNA from 1 species